CCCUUAGAUGUUCUGGGCCGCACGCGCGCUACACUGACGAAGUCAGCGAGCAUGUCCUACGCCGGCAGGUGCGGGGAAUCUUGUCAAACUUCGUCGUGAUGGGGAUUGAUUAUUGAAAUUCUUGAUCAUCAACGAGGAAUUCCUAGUAAGCGCAAGUCAGCAGCUUGCGUUGAUUACGUCCCUGCCCUUUGUACACACCGCCCGUCGCUACUACCGAUUGAAUGGUUUAGUGAGAUCUUCGGAUUGGCGCCACUGCGGCUCAGCAAUGGGCUCGGUGGAUGCCGAAAAGUUGAUCAAACUUGAUCAUUUAGAGGAAGUAAAAGUCGUAACA
rnacentral:rRNA from 1 species